UUUGGGUAGUGAGCAGUCGCUUUGUUUUACAAAGAGGAAAGUCUGAGCUUGCGUAGAAAGUGAUAACGGAUAACAUCCGUCGGGGGCAACCCUAGGGAAAGUGCAGCAGAAAAAAACCGCCGAAAGGUAAGGGUGAAAAGGUGAGGUAAGAGCUUACCGGGUGAAAUAAAUAUCAUCGCAAUAUGCAAACCCUAUCACAAGUAAGAUCAAAUAGAGGUUAAAACUUUUUCUACAGUUGACCUGGGUUGAUCGCUGGAGCUUAGUAGUAAUAUUAAGCCUAGAUAAAUGACUGCUAAUUUUCAAUAAAAUUACAGAACUCAGCUUAUAGCUACCCAUAUAUU
rnacentral:RNase_P_RNA from 2 species